GCUGAAUGUCUUGCAGUGUUGGGCAUCUACCAGGCUGAAUGUCUUGCAGUGUUGGGCAUCUAGCAGGCUGAAUGUCUUGCAGUGUUGGGCAUCUAGCAGGCUGAAUGUCUUGCAGUGUUGGGCAGCCUGCUAGAUGUGCAACACUGCAAGACAUUCAGCCUGCUAGAUGUGCAACACUGCAAGACAUUCAG
rnacentral:SRP_RNA from 1 species